CAGCAGCCGCGGGAAUACGUAGGUGGCAAGCGUUGUCCGGAAUUAUUGGGCGUAAAGCGCGCGCAGGCGGAUCAGUUAGUCUGUCUUAAAAGUUCGGGGCUUAACCCCGUGAUGGGAUGGAAACUGCUGAUCUAGAGUAUCGGAGAGGAAAGUGGAAUUCCUAGUGUAGCGGUGAAAUGCGUAGAUAUUAGGAAGAACACCAGUGGCGAAGGCGACUUUCUGGACGAAAACUGACGCUGAGGCGCGAAAGCCAGGGGAGCGAACGGGAUUAGAUACCCGAGUAGUCCCUGUCUCUUAUACA
rnacentral:rRNA from 1 species